AUAAAUGAUGAAUUUCUUUCGUCCGAAAAUUAUUAAAAAAUAUUUAAUUGAUGUAAAAAUUGCAUGAGAUUUUUUACUAUAUAAAGUGUUCAGACAAUUAUACAUUGGUUAUACGCAAAGGUGAAAAAAAUGGCUGAAAUUAUUAAGUUUGUUUAUAUUUUGAUACUUUGUGUUUCCUUAUUGCUUAUUGGUGAAGCUAGUGGAAAAGAAUGUGUUACUGACGCCGAUUGUGAAAACCUAUAUUAUGGUAAUAAAUGGCCUCUUAUUUGCAGCAACAUUGGUUAUUGUUUGAGUUCAUACGAAGAGCCUCCUCACAAGUAGUAUUGAGAUGUUUGUCUAGGAGAGUAAAGUGGAGAAUUAUUCUCUAAUCCAUGUUACAUUUUUCUUGAAUGUUUGUUUGAUUGUUGUUUAUCUUUAAAAUGGAUCGUAAGUUGUGAUAUUAUGAGAUCAGGGCUGAUGUUAAUAAUAUAGUAUUUACUUAUUUUAUUAUAAGAAAAAUGUAAGCCUAUAAGAAGCCAAAAUAUGUUAUUUCUAGUUAUGAAAUUGAGUUGUUUAUUUAUGGUGA